rnacentral:rRNA from 1 species
UGCCAGCAGCCGCGGUAAUACGGAGGGUGCAAACGUUACCCGGAAUUAUUGGGCGUAAAGCGUCCGCAGGCGGCGUAAUAAGUUCGAUAUUAAAUCCCGAGGCUCAACUUUGGGGCUGUAUCGAAAACUGUUAUGCUAGAGUCUUGGAGAGGUGAGUGGAAUUUCACAUGUAGGGGUAAAAUCCGUAGAUAUGUGAAGGAACACCAAAAGCGAAGGCAGCUCACUGGCCAAGUACUGACGCUCAUGGACGAAAGCGUAGGUAGCAAACGGGAUUAGAUA